rnacentral:rRNA from 1 species
UCGGGAAUUUUGGGCAAUGGGCGAAAGCCUGACCCAGCAACGCCGCGUGAAGGAUGAAGUAUUUCGGUAUGUAAACUUCGAAAGAAUAGGAAGAAUAAAUGACGGUACUAUUUAUAAGGUCCGGCUAACUACGUGCCAGCAGCCGCGGUAAUACGUAGGGACCAAGCGUUGCUCGGAUUUACUGGGCGUAAAGGGCGCGUAGGCGGCGUGGUAAGUCACUUGUGAAAUCUCCGAGCUUAACUCGGAACGGUCAAGUGAUACUGCUGUGCUAGAGUACAGAAGGGGCAAUCGGAAUUCUUGGUGUAGCGGUGAAAUGCGUAGAUAUCAAGAGGAACACCUGAGGUGAAGACGGGUUGCUGGGCUGACACUGACGCUGAGGCGCGAAAGCC